GAUCUGUAACCGGAAACCUUUCUAUCAAUACAGGGCCAUCGUGUCCCUGGCUGUGCCACGAGCUUCGGGAGAAAUAACACGUUAGAUAAGUCCACUUAAGUACAUAAUUCGAGAUUGAUCCCCUAUCCUCAGUCAUCUGCCCAUCGACAUUCUCUCCUUUCUUUUUUUUUUUUAUAAAUGUCUCUAAUUUCCCCUAAGUCUCUUCGCUCGAACCCGAUUGUUGCAAGAGAAAGGCAAAAUAAAACUAGCAACGUUAGCUUCUCCCUAAAUUCAAAAUUUACCUCCUUUCCUUCUCAACCAAUGAUGACACUACUUUCUUUUUUCCUUUUUUUUUUUUUUGGACCUUCAAACGACGAAUGUCGAGGGGAGAAUAAUGCUUGCGGCUUGAAAGCAACACCGAAGACAGAAAGCAGCGGCCACACGAAUUACUAGAAGAACUAGCGGGGCGUUGAUAACCCUGCACAGCAAGGCAAUAGUUAGACAACAGAAUCUGAAGAGCGACGUCGAUGGUGUCCAGAAGUUUUGCAGAUUAAGAUGCAUCGUCGGGACAACAAAUUCCACGACCCAUUGACGUCAUCACCUCAAAUUAUUACUUGCAAUGUCACGCAACACCACGUGCACCCAUCGAUCGUCGAAGUCUUUCGCCAGAUCUUGUUUCCACGUUUCGUUUUUCAUUUUGGCAACAAGACCAACCAACCGUUUCAGACAACGCGCGAUCAUCGAUGCAGAAAGCGGAUAUGCGAGGCUGGAAAAGCUUCUUUUACGUUUCACCUCCGGCUCACGUUAAGCGUAUGUAACUUGAACUAUGUCUAUCAAGUAUCUUCAAAAAUGUAGAAAAUGAUCAAAAUCGUUGAGCUGUUUAAAACGCUGUUUAUCCCAAAGAAAAAGCCAACACAAUGCUACAUUUUUUUUCUUUUUGUUUUUUUGGCAAAAAACACACUGCCCAAAAAUGGUACACGUGACUGAAAGCUAUUACAAUACUUUUAUAAUACCAAUACCAACGAGAGAGAGAGAGAGAGAGAGA